GUUGAAUACUAUGCGGGUUUAGAAAUAAUAAAAAUAAUCCACCAUAUUUGCUUAUAUAAGGAGGCAUUUAACCACCAUAUUCCACAAACAAGAUGAACGCUUUAAGGAAUUCUUUUGUCAAGCUGGCAUUCUUAUUGGCUUUCUUCAUCAUUGCAUCAGAUCUAUGCAUGAAAUUAGAGGCAAGAGGACCCAUUGUGCGUUUGCAUUGCACUAACGACUCACAAUGCCAAUAUUCUUGUCCAACUUGUGGUUGUAGAUGCGUUAACACAUGGUGCCAGUGUCCAAAACAACCUUUCGUUGAGGAUAUUCGUUUUCAAGCACCUCCAAAUUGAGUAAACGGGUCUUCUGUUGUUAUUAUCUAGUAUAUGGAUGGCAACAAUCAAAGAUUAAUCGAAGGCUUGGGUUGCAUCCCUCUUUGGUGUAACCAAAUAACAUCUCAUGAAUUUUAAUAAAACUUAAGCUUUAAAUACC